GACGAACGCUGGCGGCGUGCCUAAUACAUGCAAGUUGAGCGAUGAAGGUUGGUGCUUGUACCAAUUUGAAGAGCAGCGAACGGGUGAGUAGCGCGUGGGGAAUCUGCCUUUGAGCGGGGGACAACAUUUGGAAACGAAUGCUAAUACCGCAUAACAACUUUAAACAUAAGUUUUAAGUUUGAAAGAUGCAAUUGCAUCACUCAAAGAUGAUCCCGCGUUGUAUUAGCUAGUUGGUGAGGUAAAGGCUCACCAAGGCGAUGAUACAUAGCCGACCUGAGAGGGUGAUCGGCCACAUUGGGACUGAGACACGGCCCAAACUCCUACGGGAGGCAGCAGUAGGGAAUCUUCGGCAAUGGACGAAAGUCUGACCGAGCAACGCCGCGUGAGUGAAGAAGGUUUUCGGAUCGUAAAACUCUGUUGGUAGAGAAGAACGUUGGUGAGAGUGGAAAGCUCAUCAAGUGACGGUAACUACCCAGAAAGGGACGGCUAACUACAUG
rnacentral:rRNA from 1 species